rnacentral:rRNA from 1 species
GUGGGGAAUAUUGGACAAUGGGCGAAAGCCUGAUCCAGCAAUGCCGCGUGAGUGAUGAAGGCCUUAGGGUUGUAAAGCUCUUUUACCAGGGAUGAUAAUGACAGUACCUGGAGAAUAAGCUCCGGCUAACUCCGUGCCAGCAGCCGCGGUAAUACGGAGGGAGCUAGCGUUGUUCGGAAUUACUGGGCGUAAAGCGCGCGUAGGCGGCUUUUCAAGUCAGGGGUGAAAUCCCGGGGCUCAACCCCGGAACUGCCCUUGAAACUGGAUGGCUAGAAUACUGGAGAGGUGAGUGGAAUUCCGAGUGUAGAGGUGAAAUUCGUAGAUAUUCGGAAGAACACCAGUGGCGAAGGCGACUCACUGGACAGUUAUUGACGCUGAGGUGCGAAAGCGUGGGGAGCAAACAGGAUUAGAAACCCUGGUAGUCC